GGCACAUUGCUGGUGGGCAUGUAGGUUAGAGUGACAAACUUGGAAAACAAUGUAGUAGUUUCUUUAAAAGCUCAAAGUUUUCCUUUGCUAAAAUGUCAUUUUAUUUUUAAUUAUGUUGUAUAUAUUUGUGUGCCCUUCCCCCAGACUUGAGCAGGCUAAAUAGACCUUAAGUGUUUGCCACUAUUGGACCUUAAUGAUCCAGGUGGAGUCAAUUCCCUACAGGAGUAGACUGCCAGCUGAGCUUGUUUUGUAACUCAAUCCAGCUGAAACAAAGGAUGGGGAGGGGUCUGUGGGUUUUCCCUAUAUAAGCACAGUGCUGACUAUUAAACUUUGAGCCUUGAUCAGAAAUCUUUGUCUUGGCUUCAUCCUUCUCUUGCCUGCCCAUCCUUUUUCAUUCCCAGCCUCACUUUCAGAUACCCAGUUCUCUGUGGCUGCAUGACAGCUACAGGUGGUGCCAGCAUGAGGGGCCUGAAAACUGGGGGACCCACUGAGAAAUGCUGUCUUGGAUGGAGCUCCACAGAAAACAGAAGAAAAGUAACAGUAUCCUGCAUCGUGGUAAGCAACAAACAGCAUUGAUGUUAGUGCUAGGUGUAAAUUUCUUUUGGAGGCUGUUGUUGCAAGAAAUGCAUUAAGGGGCCACAGGCUAGGUUGAAGAGGUGUUGACCCAAUGCUGAAUUCAACUAGGGGUGAUAGUGCAAUUGGACAGGGAAA
rnacentral:lncRNA from 1 species